rnacentral:rRNA from 1 species
UACGUAGGGUGCAAGCGUUGUCCGGAAUUAUUGGGCGUAAAGAGCUCGUAGGCGGUCUGUCGCGUCUGCUGUGAAAACUCAGGGCUUAACCCUGAGCUUGCAGUGGGUACGGGCAGACUAGAGUGCGGUAGGGGAGACUGGAAUUCCUGGUGUAGCGGUGAAAUGCGCAGAUAUCAGGAGGAACACCGGUGGCGAAGGCGGGUCUCUGGGCCGUAACUGACGCUGGAGGCGCCGAAAGCGUGGGGAGCAAACAGG